UAUAUGCCCAAGUGUUGGGGUGAGAGGCUGAAGCUGCCAGCAUGAUCUUGGUCAACAAAAGCCAUCUUUCAGCUUCAAGUUUUGAUGGUUGAGUCUGAAGAUCAGGUCAUCUUGCAGCUUCAAUCACUCACUAACCAACACCAAACUUAUA
rnacentral:pre_miRNA from 1 species